rnacentral:rRNA from 1 species
GUAGGUGGCAAGCGUUGUCCGGAUUUAUUGGGCGUAAAGCGAGUGCAGGCGGUUCAAUAAGUCUGAUUUGAAAACCCCCGGCUUAACCGAGGGAUUGCAUCGGAAACUGUGUUUCUUGAGUGCAGAAGAGGAGAGUGGAACUCCAUGUGUAGCGGUGGAAUGCGUAGAUAUAUGGAAGAACACCAGUGGCGAAGGCGGCUCUCUGGUCUGUAACUGACGCUGAGGCUCGAAAGCAUGGGUAGCGA